rnacentral:rRNA from 1 species
GGGCAGAGACAAUGAGAUGCGACUCUGCGAAGAUUAGCUAAUCUAUAAACUCGUUCUAAGUUCGGAUUGCAGGCUGCAACUCGCCUGCAUGAAGUUGGAAUCGCUAGUAAUCGCUGGUCAGCUAUACAGCGGUGAAUUCGUUCCCGGGCCUUGUACACACCGCCCGUCACACCAUGGAAGCUGGUUAUGCCCGAAGUCGUUACUCUAACCUUUUUGGAGGAGGACGCCUAAGGUAGAAUUAGUGACUGGGGUGAAGUCGUAACAAGGUAAC